rnacentral:rRNA from 1 species
GGGGAAUAUUGCGCAAUGGGGGAAACCCUGACGCAGCAAUACCGCGUGAGUGAAGAAGGUUUUCGGAUCGUAAAGCUUUGCCGGUGAAUAGCCGGUUGGAGUGACGGUACCUUCAGAAGAAGCCCCGGCUAACUACGUGCCAGCAGCCGCGGUAAUACGUAGGGGACAAGCGUUGUCCGGAUUUACUGGGCGUAAAGGGCACGCAGGCGGUUUUUUAAGUCAGAUGUGAAAGGUACCGGCUCAACCGGUGACAUGCAUUUGAAACUGAAAGACUUGAGUAUUGGAGAGGCAAGUGGAAUUCCUAGUGUAGCGGUGAAAUGCGUAGAUAUUAGGAGGAACACCGGUGGCGAAGGCGGCUUGCUGGACAAAUACUGACGCUGAGGUGCGAAAGCGUGGGGAGCAAACA